rnacentral:rRNA from 1 species
UACGAGGGGGGUGAGCGUUGUUCGGAAUUAUUGGGCGUAAAGGGUGCGUAGGCGGUUUGGUAAGUCUUAUGUGAAAUCUACAGGCUCAACUUGUAGUCUGCAUGAGAAACUGCCGGGCUUGAGUAUGGGAGAGGUGAGUGGAAUUCCUGGUGUAGCGGUGAAAUGCGUAGAUAUCAGGAGGAACACCAAUGGCGAAGGCAGCUCGCUGGGACGUUACUGACGCUGAGACGCGAAAGCGUGGGGAGCAAACAGG